UUGGCAGCUGUAUAUAUUAUUAGCUUUAAUUGGCUAACAUGAUUCCAUACUAUACAUGCAGCUGAGGCAGCUACUGUUGAUGGGAGGAGCGGAUAUAAUGGCUACGGCGGUGGAGGCUACCACGGCGGUGGAGGCUACCACGGCGGUGGUGGUUACCACGGCGGUGGAGGUUACCACGGCGGUGGAGGUUACCAUGGUGGUGGUGGCCAUGGCGGUGGUGGGUGCAGUCACGGAUACUGCCGUUAUAGGUGCUGCAACUAUGCAGGUGAGGUGGUGGACGCAGAGACUACCGGAGUCAAGCCUCAAAACUAGAGGAGUGUUUUGAUCUGACGAUGCAUGCAUGUACUCUAGUCUAUGAUAUAUAGUAUGGAAAGUAUAUAUAUAUAUAUACUACUUCUUCAUAGAAUGUAGUAUAUAUAAAAUAAAAGCAUGCAUGAUCAUUCAAUAUAUGUUUAGCAGCACUGAUAUCAUUUGGAUUAAUGAUGGCCGUGCUACUAAAUUUUCCUUUAAAAUGUUGGACUGGAUUGUGUAUAUGCUUGGUUUUCAUCUUGUAAAAUCACAUUAAAGUGAUUAUAUGAAUGUAAGGGGUGCUAUUUGUGUUUCAUAAUAUGUUUUAGCAGUAAUUAAAGUGUUUAAAAAUGGAAAAUGGUAUAUCCUCCUACUUUUUUGUCCCAACAUUUCAGCUGACUACAAAGCUGAGAAUUAAAUCUUCUAAAACUGUAAAUGCAGUUAGCAUGAAUUUU
rnacentral:lncRNA from 1 species